GCCCGGCUGAACGCUGGUGGUCCAGUGUGCAGACUUCAAAUCUGUAGCUGUCUUGCGGCAGAGUGGUUCGAUUCCACCUGACGGGCG